AGUGAACGCUGGCGGUAGGCCUAACACAUGCAAGUCGAACGGCAGCACAGUAAGAGCUUGCUCUUACGGGUGGCGAGUGGCGGACGGGUGAGGAAUACAUCGGAAUCUACUUUUUCGUGGGGGAUAACGUAGGGAAACUUACGCUAAUACCGCAUACGACCUACGGGUGAAAGCAGGGGAUCUUCGGACCUUGCGCGAUUGAAUGAGCCGAUGUCGGAUUAGCUAGUUGGCGGGGUAAAGGCCCACCAAGGCGACGAUCCGUAGCUGGUCUGAGAGGAUGAGCAGCCACACUGGAACUGAGACACGGUCCAGACUCCUACGGGAGGCAGCAGUGGGGAAUAUUGGACAAUGGGCGCAAGCCUGAUCCAGCCAUACCGCGUGGGUGAAGAAGGCCUUCGGGUUGUAAAGCCCUUUUGUUGGGAAAGAAAAGCAGCAGGUUAAUACCCCGCUGUUCUGACGGUACCCAAAGAAUAAGCACCGGCUAUCUUCGUG
rnacentral:rRNA from 1 species